ensembl:lincRNA putative protein T-ENOL
AGAACUUCCGUAAACAUUUAGGGGGAUGGCAUCCACAUCUGCCAGGAGUGGGGACAAAAAGGACAUCAGGUCAUCUCAAGCUGCCGCCUCCUUAGGUGGAGGGCAGAAAGUCUCAUUAUCCUGCUCUGAAGAAUUCCUGACCCGAAUCAGCACAGAACUUACAGACGAAGCACUGUUUAUUGCUCGCUCCCGUUUGAGUCCUCUGCCCAAUAAGGAAAAGAACACAAAAGACCAAGGGACUCAGAUAUCUAGACAUGUGUUCUUCACUAAGACCCGAGGCACUGACACCCGGUGAGUGAGGCUCUGUCCUUCUCCCAGGACAGAGGAGCCUGUGGGGAGAGAGCAAGGGUUGACAGCAUCCCAGCAGGCUCUGACAAAAAUCGAACCCGAACCAAGGCACACCUUCUGCCUUCUCCUCGUGAAAAGGGACCACUCCCCAACAGCCUGACAACUGGAGGAUGAGCUUGGCCCUCCCUAAUACUGCUCUCUCAGCUUCUUGCCUUCCCCCACUAUGUCCCUCAGUGAAAACCUCAAAGCCCCUCUUUUGCAACUGGCUACGCCUCUCAUCUUGGGAGGAAUGCCUGGUCAUAAGCAAUGCCACCUUUGAAACCAAGAAAAUCUUCUGGAACUGUUGCGGGGCCCUCCACCCUCCAUGGGCAAACGCUACUGAGAAGAAAAUGUUUCAAUAAAGAACCAGGAUCCUCUCU